CCCACUCCAGUAUUCUUGCCUGGAGAAUCCCAGGGACAGAGGAACCUAGUGGGCUGCCGUCUAUGGGAUCACACAGAGUCGGACACGACUGAAGCGACUUAGCAGCAGCAGCAGCAGCAGGAAGAGAGACCCAGCUUGAGCACACGUGCAGAGGGGGAGGAAGGAAGAUGUAGCGAGCAGAAGAAAAAUGAGGUUAGAGAGGUACAAGGACAUGACCAGGCUUGUCUUACUUAGAAGAGCGUUAUCUUGUUUUUCUAAGUAUAGCAUACAUGCUAGAAAAGUAGGCAUAAGUGGAUUACUGUCCAACAGAUUUUACAAAUUCAGCAUACCAUGCUCUGAGAUCAAGAAGCAGGAGCACCCAUGGGUCCUGUUCGAGUCACUGUGUCCUGGAAGAGAACCCCUGCUGACUCUCGAGCUUGUAUCACUGGAAUUCUGCAGUGUCUGUCUUCUUUCCUUCAGACUUGGGUUUCUGAGACUCGCUCCAGAUGCUGCCUCUCGCUGUAGGGUGCUCACUCAUUGCUGAUUGGGCCUUUAUGUGACUUGUGUUCCCUGUACCUCUGGGUUUCUGCUGAGGAAUUCCCCCACGUCCUAGAAGAAAAGCUUAUUUCUUGUUUGAUCUUUUGAGGCCAUGCAAGACAUUUUUGUUCCCCUUUAGAGUGUGGAAAAAUAUACAGAAUUAAGUAAUAUUGGAUGGUUCAUCACUUCCUUAUACCCAUGAAUUCUUCCCCUUUUCAAGUUUUAAAUAUCUGGAAUUAAUGGUUCUGUUUCAUGUGAUGUGAUAUGAUUAAAGAGGAAAAAAUUGAUACAAAUAACACAUUUGAAAAGUCUGUUUUGAUGGAAUAGGACGUUGUGUUUUGAACAUGAAGUCUGCCUUUAAGAUGAGGUGUCAUUUUCAUAAUGAAAGGCUUACAUGUGUUGAGUUCAAAGCAGAAGCAGUUUUUCUGUUAUUCAUGUAGUGUUCCUUUUUCUCUAGUCCUUUCUCUCCCCUCAGCUUCUACUUUUAUAGUCUCUUCUAUCUUGUUCUCUGCCUCAUUUCUGCUUUUCACAAACAUCUUGUUUUCAUUUCCAAUCUAGACUCCAGCAACAAAAGAGGAAGCCAGAGUUGUGGUACUUUUUUUUUUUUUUUUCCCAGAUAGAGCUACCAAUCCUCUCUGUGCUUUGCUUGUCAUUUUCUGCAAUCAAGUCCUUAGUCACCCAGGAUUUGGUAUCUGGUUUUCUUGUUUAUUCUUCCUUUGGAGUGGCUCUGUCCAAUAGAAAUAUAACCCAAGCCAUAUAUAUAUAAUAUCAAAGUUUUGGUUUCCCAGUAAAAUUAAAACAAAACAAAACAGGACUAAACUAAACUUGUAUGCACCUAAUAAUACAGCUGCAAACUAUACAAAGUAAAAAGUGACAGAAUGACAAAAAAAAGUUGACAAAUGUGACAACAUAAUGAGAGAUUUUAGCAUAUCUAUUUCAGUAACUGAUGGAACAAACUAACAAAAAACCAAUAAGGGAUUGAUUUAAGAAGCAAAGCAAUUAAUAAGCUUGAUCAAACCAAUUAUAUAGAAAACAUAGUUCCAGCAAGUGAAGAGUAGUAUACUUUUACAAAAAUUGAACAUACACCAGGUCAUAAAGUAAGUUCUAACAUAUUUAAAAUAAUUAGUAUCAUAUUGACCAAGUUCUCUGAAUGAAAUGAAACUAAAUUAUGUAUCAGUUUUAAAAUAUAAUUUAAAAACAUAUUUGAAAAGUUAAAUUUGAAAGUAUUUAGAUUUGAAUGAUCAAGAAGUAAUAGCAA